AUGUGCACUGUCCGGUCUCAAAUUCGAACGUCCCCCUCGCCUUUUACUAGGGAGACCCGGGGAUCGGGCAGAAACUGCACUUGUCCUAUCUUUCACAACCCUCAUGGGGUUA
rnacentral:snRNA from 1 species